GUUGGGGGACCCCAGGGAAAAUGUGGGGCUCCCAGGGCAGGCAGGAACGGGCAGCAAGGGGAGACCAGAGCCGAGUGUCCUGUGGAGGAGAGGGGACGGGGAGAAAGCACAGCCUUGCUGCCACCGCCUGCCCAGGGGGUGGGGGCAGGUGAGCGCCAUCUUCACUCAAUCCUCGCUCCCCAUGAGGCCCGCUCAGGGCACAGAGCCUGCCGUGACCCCCAUAGGGGGCUGUCAUGACGGUGAGCUCUGCUCAGCCUGAGACGUGACUAAUUAUCUGCUGAAUGAGCCACCCCGUUUUCGAGGAAAUUAGGUUUUAAAAAUAGUCGGGGGAGGAAAGGCGAGCCGCGCUGCGGAGCCGGGAGGUGGCCCCUCUGAGCAGUUUCCGCUGGCCAGGCCCGAGGCGGGGGCUCUGCCGCUGGGGCCCCUCUCUCCUGGCCCCAUCACAGGACGUGGUGGCGACCCGGGCCUGCGGUGCACGGCUCUGAUCGCUGGCUGCACGGUGACCUCAUCGGCCACCCCACCUCCCUGUGUGCCCAGGGCUUCUCUCUGAGCCUCAGUCUCUCUCUAUAAAGUGCGGCUGAAGCCAGCUCGAGCCCUAGAGGCACUGCCAUUCUCCACGGGGCCACAUGGCCGCCUCUGCACCCAGCUGUUCCCUGGCCUGCGCCUGGUCUCCGCCCUGGCCCUGCCAGUGCUCCCUGGACACUGUGUCCCACACCAGCCACCUUUGCCACCCCACUGACACCGCCCCAUCCUGCAGACCAGCCUGGUCCCUCCUGCUGAGCCUGGGGGCUCCCUCAGGACGGGGCCUGCCCUGGGCUGACAGCAUGGGCGUGUUUGUUGACUGACCCAUGGACUGACAGAUACCCGUUCCUCUUUUCUCUGCACAACAGGCCUCCGCCAGAGCUUCCUCUCCACAUCUGUCUGACAUGGACACUGAGGCAGGGAAUGACUAAACUGGGGGAGGAGGCAGAUUGUCAGGCUGGCUCUGCAGUGAGACCCAAAGCCUCCGACCAUGGGGACCACAGGCCCCUCUGAGGACCUGCCAGGACGGCCAGGCUGGGCAGCGGCACUCCACGACACAGGCUGGGGUGGGGACCCGGAGGCGGCAGGGCCGACCCUCAGCUCUGGUGAGGCUCAGACCAGGACCCGGCGGACAAGGGUAGGCCGUGCAAGAAUCUUCUCCUGCUAAACUGCAGAAAGGCCUUCUGUGGCUGUCCACAGAUGGCUGCGACGCUUGGCAGUAGUGUGACUUGCUCUGACCAACAGAAUGUGAUGCAAGGGAUGGUGUGGGCGUGAGGAAGGCUGGCACUUCUCACUGUGCCUCUGGGAACCUGGGCCACGACACUCAGAGGCCAGCUCCCUGCAAAAAGACCGGGCGGCCCCAGCUGUUCCUGCCAUCCUGGCUGAGGGUUGGACAGGCAAGUGUAGGACGAGCUUGAAUUUCCUGCCACUGCCGACCACAGCCAUGGAACUAACCCCAGGUAUGACCUACAGAAGAACCACCCAACUGAACCCAACCCAAAUAACAGAAUCGCAAGCAAAUACACAGUUGUUUGAAGCUUCUGUCUGGGGGUGGUUUGUUAUACAAUAGCUGACUGAAACAGAUCUCGGCUCACUACAACCUCUGCCUCUUGGGUUUAAGUGAUUCUCCUGUCUCAGCCUCCCCCGAGUAGCUGCAGAUCUUGGCUCACUACAGCCUCCGCCACUCGGGUUCAAGCGAUUCUCCUGCCUCAGCCUCCCCCGAGUAGCUGCAGAUCUCGGCUCACUACAGCCUCCGCCUCCCGGGUUCAAGCGAUUCUCCUGCCUCAGCCUCCCCCGAGUAGCUGCAGAUCUCGGCUCACUACAGCCUCCGCCUCCCGGGUUCAAGCGAUUCUCCUGCCUCAGCCUCCCCCGAGUAGCUGGGACUACAGGCACGCACCACCAUGCCCAGCUUUUUUGUAUUUUUAGUAGAGAUGGGGUUUCACCGUGUUACCCAGGAUGGUCUCAAUCUCUUGACCUCGUGAUCUGCCCGCCUUGGCCUCCCAGCGUGCUGCGAUGACAGACAUGAGCCACCGUGCCCGGCCUAUCUGUGGACUUCUUUGGAACAGGAGGAGUUACAGUUUUUAAUUCCUUUGUCUUACUUGGACUUCUUACAUUCAAAGAAGCAUUAAUAAUCUGUACAUGGAUUAUUCAGCCAUGAAAAGGAGUGAGGCUCUGACGCAGGCCACAGCACGGAUGCACCUUGAAGACGUCACACUCAGUGAGAGAUACCAGACACAAGAGGCCAUGCAGUGUGUGACCCCAUUUCUAUGAAAUGUCCAGGACAGGCUGAUCCAGAGAGACAGGGAGGGGAUGCAUGGGUGCUGGGGCUGGGGAGGGAUGGAGAGUGACAGCCGCCAGGCGCAGGGUUUGCUUUCGGGGUGAUGGAAAUGUACUAGAAUUAGUGGCAGUGACUGAACAACUCUGUGAAUACGCCGAGAAGAAUUUACUCAGUUGCAAUAAGUAAGCAGUAAGACACUUUCAAAGAGUGAAUUUUGUGUCCCAGAAAAGCAAAAUGAAGAUGCAGAUCCCUUUAGUUGCAAAAGCAUUGCCCAGUGACAUACACCAUCUGGAACCUUCUCCAAACUCGGUCAUCCCCCAGGGCCUCAGUUUGCUUGUCUCUAAAGGAGGUUGGGGGACUUGGUCAAGGCUUGACCAGAAGGGCAGCCAGUCUGCUGCAGGCUGGAGCUUCUCACACUGUCUGUGCUGUAGAACUGAGUUCAACCUUUCUUUUCUCUCCAUCAUGGACCAAGGCUUUUGUGAAACGCAGUAAACAGCAACUACCGAGGUCUGAAAGGCUGGUGCCGACCCUCAGCUUCUGCUCCUCUCUGGUAUGGACCGGGAUGGACAGUCUCGUCCAUGGUGACAUCAAACGGCCCUGCCUCAGGCCUCUUCUCUCUUGAUAUGAGUGUACCCACAUGCAAACGGCUUGGGGGCCUCCAGGCACCCCCCAAAGCCCAUGCAAACCAGGAUCUCCCCCCUCAGCACUUAGGGCUGGAUUGUUCUCUGGGCUGGUCACUGGGGCCGUCCUGGGCACUGCAGGGUGCCGAGCAGCAUCCCUGGCCUCCACCCACUCCAUGCCAGGGGCACCCCCCAGCUGUAACAACCACAGAUGUCUCCAGACAUGGCCCCGUGUCCCCAGGGGGGCAGGAUGACCCCAGGUGAUGCCCCGCUUCAGUAGCCCCUGAGGUUAAACCCUUGGGUGAGAUGUUCAACACGGCUGCAACAGCAAAUAUCUGCACCAGGUGCCGACCAAGCUCUCCCCACACAGGAUCCCACCCAGCCUGACCAGGCAGCCACUCCUCACGGCUUCAUUUGACACAUGGGGAAACCGAGGCUGGGAGAGGUGGAAGGAUUCUGACACCGCUGGGGAGAACCCAUGUGGCCAGGCCUCCCGCGUGACCGUCUCUAACCCAUACAGGCCUGGCAUGGUAGGCAAUGGGGUCCCUGUUUGGGGACAGGCAGCACCCGACUGAUGGUCCCCACCGGGAAGUGAUGAGAGAUGUGAACUCAGGUACCUGCCCGGCCCUGCAGCCCCAAGCCCAGCGAGUCGCCGUAAACUGUCACCCGGUACAUCCGCGGUCCCCGGCACCCACCACUCCCAGCACACCCUGGUGAGUGGCCCGCCCGGGCUUGGUUCUGAGCCCUGCGGUGUUUGGGUUCGGUCAACUCUAGAAAUCACAAUGUUUUGGAGAAAAACCUGGGUUUCUCGAAAAACAGGCAGAUCUAGAAAUAAAAGGCUGCACCAUCACUCGGCCCCCCGCCUGGCACACUCGCCUCUGCCUUCGCCCCCCACGGCCCACUCCCCGACGGCGCGUGGCCAGGAGGCGCCUGUGAGCACCUGAUCCAGCUGCCACCUAAUUCAUGAUCACCGUUUGACAGGCCGGGAAAUGGGGAUUUGGGGAAAUUUAGGAAGUUACCCAAAGUCAACGGUGAAAAACGCUGUGAUCCCAUCUCCGAAUCCAGAAAAACCUUCAACGAAAUUCAACAUGAAUUUCACGUCCCCCCAAAAUACUACCAAGAAAGAAAAAAAGGAGAGAAAGGGAGACUGCUUUUACUUUAAAAAGAAAUAUAAGACCAGGCGAGGUGGCUCUAGCACUUUGGGAGGCUGAGGCAGGAGGACGGCUUGAGCCCAGAAGUUUGAGACUUGCCUGGGCAACAUCGUGAGACCCCCAUCUCUACAAAAAAAUUUAAAUAUUAGCCAGGAGUGGUGGUGCACACCUGUAUUUCUAGCUACUUGGGAGGCUGAGGCGGGAGGAUCACUUGAACCCAGAAGUUUGAGGCUGCAGUGAGCUAUGACUGCACCACUGCACUCUAGCCUGGGCAACAGAGCAAGAUCCUGUCUUAAAAUUAAAAUAAAAUAAAAUAAAAUAUAAAAUGAAAGAAGUAUAAAGCAAAAAGUUAUGGGAAAUGCCUUAAUGUCAACCACAAGACCAGGGGUGUGGCUGUGAGAGCCGCCACUGCAGCGGAAGUGCUGGCUGGAGCAAUAAGACUAGAAAAAGAGAAAGGAAUGAAGACUGAAAAGAAAAAGAGAAAGUUUUAGGCCAGGCUUUACGGUGGCUCACGCCUGUCAUCCCAGCACUUUGGGAGGCCGAGGCAGGCGGGUCACUUGAGCCCAGGAGUUAGAGACCAGCCUGGCCAACAUGGUGAAACCCCGUCUCUACUGAAAAUACAAAAAUUAGGCGGGUG
rnacentral:lncRNA from 1 species